AUCCCAUGAUGUGGGCACUUUCGAAGCAUCUCUUUGUAGCGUUCCCAAGCUUCACAAAGAGUUUCACCAUAUAUACUGCUGAGAAAAUUGAGUGAUAGCAUUCCUGAUGGC
rfam:Daucus carota subsp. sativus cultivar DH1 chromosome 6, whole genome shotgun sequence.